GAUGAAGAACGUAGCGAAAUGCGAUAAGUAAUGUGAAUUGCAGAAUUCAGUGAAUCAUCGAAUCUUUGAACGCACAUUGCGGCCGCCAGUAUUCUGGCGGGCAUGCCUGUCCGAGCGUCAUUUCAACCCUCAAGCCCCCGGGCUUGGUGUUGGAGAUCGGCGAGCCCCCCGGGGCGCGCCGUCUCCCAAAUAUAGUGGCGGUCCCGCUGUAGCUUCCUCUGCGUAGUAGCACACCUCGCACUGGGAAACAGCGUGGCCACGCCGUAAAACCCCCCACUUCUGAAAGGUUGACCUCGGAUCAGGUAGGAAUACCCGCUGAACUUAAGCAUAUCAAUAAGCGGAGGA
rnacentral:misc_RNA from 1 species